AUUGAACGCUGGCGGAAUGCUUUACACAUGCAAGUCGAGCGGCAGCGCGGGGGCAACCCUGGCGGCGAGCGGCGAACGGGUGAGUAACAUAUCGGAACGUACCCCGUCGUGGGGGAUAACACAGCGAAAGCUGUGCUAAUACCGCAUACGACCUGAGGGUGAAAGCGGGGGAUCGCAAGACCUCGCGCGAUGGGAGCGGCCGAUAUCGGAUUAGCUUGUUGGUGAGGUAAAGGCUCACCAAGGCGACGAUCCGUAGCUGGUCUGAGAGGACGACCAGCCACACUGGAACUGAGACACGGUCCAGACUCCUACGGGAGGCAGCAGUGGGGAAUUUUGGGACAAUGGGGGCAACCCUGAUCCAGCCAUUCCGCGUGAGUGAAGAAGGCCU
rnacentral:rRNA from 1 species